rnacentral:rRNA from 1 species
CACUCCUGCGGGAGGCAGCAGUGGGGAAUUUUGGACAAUGGGCGAAAGCCUGAUCCAGCAAUGCCGCGUGAGUGAAGAAGGCCUUCGGGUUGUAAAGCUCUUUUGUCAGGGAAGAAACGGUGAGAGCUAAUAUCUCUUGCUAAUGACGGUACCUGAAGAAUAAGCACCGGCUAACUACGUGCCAGCAGCCGCGGUAAUACGUAGGGUGCAAGCGUUAAUCGGAAUUACUGGGCGUAAAGCGUGCGCAGGCGGUUUUGUAAGUCUGAUGUGAAAUCCCCGGGCUCAACCUGGGAAUUGCAUUGGAGACUGCAAGGCUAGAAUCUGGCAGAGGGGGGUAGAAUUCCACGUGUAGCAGUGAAAUGCGUAGAUAUGUGGAGGAACACCGAUGGCGAAGGCAGCCCCCUGGGUCAAGAUUGACGCUCAUGCACGAAAGCGUGGGGAGCAAACAGGAUUAGAUACCCUUGUAGUCCCAUG